rnacentral:rRNA from 1 species
AACGAACGCUGGCGGCAGGCCUAACACAUGCAAGUCGAGCGGAUGAGUGGAGCUUGCUCCAUGAUUCAGCGGCGGACGGGUGAGUAAUGCCUAGGAAUCUGCCUGGUAGUGGGGGACAACGUUUCGAAAGGAACGCUAAUACCGCAUACGUCCUACGGGAGAAAGUGGGGGAUCUUCGGACCUCACGCUAUCAGAUGAGCCUAGGUCGGAUUAGCUAGUUGGUGAGGUAAAGGCUCACCAAGGCGACGAUCCGUAACUGGUCUGAGAGGAUGAUCAGUCACACUGGAACUGAGACACGGUCCAGACUCCUACGGGAGGCAGCAGUGGGGAAUAUUGGACAAUGGGCGAAAGCCUGAUCCAGCCAUGCCGCGUGUGUGAAGAAGGUCUUCGGAUUGUAAAGCACUUCAAGUUGGGAGGAAGGGCAGUAAGUUAAUACCUUGCUGUUUUGACGUUACCAACAGAAUAAGCACCGGCUAACUUCGUGCCAGCAGCCGCGGUAA